UUGUACGAAUCAUUGCCAUAGAAUCGUCUAUGAUAAUGCUUUAUUGAAUAAAAAAAGCUAUUGGAAUGUUAUAUCUAUUCCCACCAAAAAUUUUACUAAGUCUACCAAAAAAAAACCUUUUAUACUCCAAUCCGUCAAAAAAAUCCUUUCAUCAUUUUUCAUCUAGCGUACUCCAAUCCUCCAAAAAAAUUUAACAAUAUGCCACUACUCCGACCACCAUACAUCGAUAAAUAUACCGCUGCUCCAACCACCAUAUCCCAACUAUCAUACUAUUGUGCCUACCACCAUUCUCUUCUCAUUUUACCACUACUCCGACCACCAUACCUUAAUUUCAAUGCUGCUCCGGCCACCAAUAUGAGUAGGAAUAUGUAUUUGAAUCCUAAGUUGGGUGGGGUUAGGAUUGGAGGUGGGUUGGCAUCAUAUUUUAUUUUUCAUGCCAGAUAUUUUUAUCUUUCCCACUUUAACACUAAUCUUACAAGGUCAUCUUCUCCACGGCACACAUUCUUUUUCUCCUCUUUCAAAUUCUCAAUUUUGCUCUAAUUUUCUCUAAUUUAUAAUUUGCAUUUAUAUAUGGUUUAAUUCAAUCACUAAUGACAACUUGGUGUCUCUGUACCUAUCCAUUUUGGUACAUUUUUUAUUUUCACAUCAUUUUUUGUGUAUUUUUGGCUCUAGGUUUGAAACAAACAACAACAAUAUGGAUCGAGAAAGAGGAUCCUUUAGAUCUUGUUACUAUUUAGUGCUUGGAAUUUGGAAAGAUGCCUCCUGCUCCGACAUUUGCUUCGCUUAUCAAAAAUUAGCUCUGCAAAGCUGGUCUUUUACCUUUGGUGGAAUAUAAUGAUAAAACUAUAUUUGAGGUGAGGCUCAAAGAAAUGAAAUCUACAUUAACAACUCAAUUAGGAGAAGAAGUUAUUUUAUCUGAAGUCAUAGAAACUGUGAAGCAUCAUGUCAAGGAUGGCAAGUUACAAGAUAUAAAGGUUGUGUGAAUUUUGUGGGAUGUCUUGAUGGAUGCUAUUCAAUGGUCAGGAAAGAACCAACAGCAAAAUGCUAAUUUCGCUCUUUGCCAGGUUUCUGGAUAGAGCAACUUGGACAGCAGCAGUGGCGUGUCUUUUCUUGUGCUAAAACAGCUUUGAACCCUUGAUGUAGUGGUUGUAUUUUUCUUCUCUUAUAGCAACAAAGAAACAAGAGAAGGUACUUCUGCAAGGAUUCUUUGUGUUCUUAACCUUCCUUUACCUCUUAGAAUUACCAGUAACAACAACCACUUUUCAACUAUUUCUGCUACUUCGAGUAUUACUUCUAGUUUCUCUGUCUUCUAAGCUGAUAUUUACUUAUUGCAGAUGGUUGUUUCUUUAUAGUUAGCAAUUUACUGAAACUAAAAACUUCAUGCUACUAAAAAUAUUAGUAUGUUUUGUUAGCAUGUUUUGUCCAAAAUGAAAUGAGAAACAUUGUUCAUUGA